rnacentral:rRNA from 1 species
AUGAUCGGGAUAACAGUUGGAAACGGCUGCUAAUACCGGAUACGACUCAAAAUGAACUUUUUGAGGAAAGAUGGCCUCUGCUUGCAUGCUAUCACGUAAGGAUGAGUCCGCGUCCCAUUAGCUUGUUGGCGGGGUAACGGCCACCAAGGCAACGAUGGGUAGCCGAUUUGAGAGGAUGAUCGGCCACACUGGAACUGAAACACGGUCCAGACUCCUACGGGAGGCAGCAGUGGGGAAUAUUGCGCAAUGGGCGAAAGCCUGACGCAGCGACGCCGCGUGAGGGAUGAAGGUUUUCGGAUCGUAAACCUCUGUCAGAAGGGAAGAAACUACGUUGUGCUAAUCAGUCAGCGUACUGACGGUACCUUCAAAGGAAGCACCGGCUAACUCCGUGCCAGCCGCAGC